rnacentral:lncRNA from 1 species
AAAUUUGUCCCUUUCAUAUAUUCUAGGGGCAUGGACUAAAGGAUUUCUGUGAGAUACCACGAGAGGACAUCUGUUUCAUCUCUGACCUGCAGCUUUGCUGAUAUUUCUGGAAA